rnacentral:misc_RNA from 1 species
UCCGGUUUGUCACCGGCAGUCUCGUAUGAGUCCCCGGCUUUAACCGCUGGCAACAUACGACGAGGGUUGCGCUCGUUGCGGGACUUAACCCAACAUCUCACGACACGAGCUGACGACAGCCAUGCACCACCUGUGACCGUGCCCCGAAGGGAGGGCGUGUUUCCACGCCGGUCACGGACAUGUCAAGCCCAGGUAAGGUUCUUCGCGUUGCGUCGAAUUAAACCACAUGCUCCGCUGCUUGUGCGGGCCCCCGUCAAUUCCUUUGAGUUUCAGCCUUGCGGCCGUACUCCCCAGGCGGGGCACUUAAUGCGUUAGCUUCGGCACGGAGAACGUGGAAUGUCCCCCACACCUAGUGCCCACCGUUUACGGCUGGGACUAC